GUGCUCAUGUCGGGGUAGCGGUUCCUCUGGAACGUGGCUUCCAGCUCCUGGAGCUGCUGGCUGGUGAAGUGAGUCCGCUGCCUCCGCUGCUUCUUCUUGAGUGAGCCGUCCUCGGGGUUGGAGUCGUCUGUCUGGUUCUGUUGGGACUUCUCAGUAUCGCUAUGGUCCUGCCCCUUGCAGCUGUGCUCGUGCUGGGGGGUGCCGGAAUCUGAGAGGGACAGGGCUGGGCUGCGAGCCUCCGCGUCCGCCAGCAGGUUGAAAUCCAUGGGGCAGGAAUGGGUGGUGGUGAUGGAGGAACAGCAGCUCCAGAUGCGGGAUCGGCUCGGCGGCCUUAAUCCUGCGAACGGGGUGACGCCGCUGCCCCUGCCCCGCUACCCGGGCCGCUCCGCCGCUGUCAGAAAGUAAAUCCCCGCGACUCCCCGGCACGCUGCGCCUCGCUGCCGGCCUGCGGCUCACGGGGAGAACGGAGGGCGACGGCCGACUGCCGCCCAUUCACCCGGCCCAUUCACUUUAUGGCGGCGGCCGGCGCCCCCCGCCAGCUG
rnacentral:lncRNA from 1 species